AUUGAACGCUGGCGGCAGGCCUAACACAUGCAAGUCGAACGAGUGGCGGACGGGUGAGUAAUGUCUGGGAAACUGCCCGAUGGAGGGGGAUAACUACUGGAAACGGUAGCUAAUACCGCCUACCAUCGGAUGUGCCCAGAUGGGAUUGGCUAGUGGGCGGGGUAAAGGCCCACCUAGGCCACGAUCCCUAGCUGGUCUGAGAGGAUGACCAGCCACACUGGAACUGAGACACGGUCCAGACUCCUACGAGAGGGAGCAGUGGGGAAUAUUGCACAAUGGGCGAAAGCCUGAUGCAGCCAUGCCGCGUGUAUGAAGAAGGCCUUCGGGUUGUAAAGUACUUUCAGCGGGGAGGCGUUACCCGCAGAAGAAGCACCGGCUAACUCCGUGCCAGCCGCCGCGGUAAUAC
rnacentral:rRNA from 1 species